CCUCAAAAAAUACUUUCUCUGAAUCCUUUGUAAAAAUAUCAAGUAUCUUUCUAAAGGAUAGGAGAUCCUACUAGAUCGACGAGAUGGAAGAAGUACUACAUAUACUGGCUCAUCUUAAAUAGAUUGUAUAGGUCUUGUAACUCGUUGUUCUUUAGAGACUUUCUUUUUGAGUUCAUCCUUCCACUGUUUUCAAGAAAACAGUAUAAUUUCUCACAAUCACAUUAUGAA
rnacentral:lncRNA from 1 species